CUUCUGUUGUAGCCAAGGUUAGAUAUGAUCAAGUGGGUGGUUUGCCCAAAGUGAGGCCCAGACAUUGCACUCAGGCUGUGCUGACCUUUUGCGAAUUCCUCAAAUGCAGGAAUCUCGACUGCAUAAUUUCUGAUAGUGGAGGACUGCGUUCAUGCUCUCCUCUU